rnacentral:lncRNA from 1 species
CACACUUCCUUGUUUGAAAAUAUCUCCCGCAAAGAAUCCCGUGAAGAGAGACACAAUUAGAAAAUGUCGAAGAAUAUACUUACAGUUUGUGAAUAAAAAUAAGCGAACUGUUAGUCAAUGUGAGAAAAACAGUGAAUGAAAGAAAACAUGUGCCCGAUCAGCCGAUCGAGGCAGCCAGUGGCAGUACAGAUAGAUGAGAAAAGGAGGUAGCCGGCAGGAGCACGUCAAGACGCAAAUUAGUUGAGAUGAAGAUGAGAGCUAGCAGCGAUCAACCAGGCAGCAGCCAGUCAACCAACAGUGGCUUUUAUAUCACAUGUCACAAAUAAAGCAAUGUGUACAUGUUUUGCCCUAAGUAUCUAAACACUAGACUGAAAAUCACCAUAGACCUCACCAACCAGGGAUUUUGUAAUUCUGUCAUGAUAGAAUGUGCACACUGUUAAGGUGAUCGUGAUACAUUUAGGAGGAGUGUUUACACUUCUUCCAGGCUACAGGCGUGCUCCAGGGGAGAUGUGGCAUUUGAAAUGUGAAGAUGGUUCUUGUAGCCCACGAACUUGGACUUGGUUAUGCAGCUCUAAAGAAAAUAAGCAAAGUACUAGGGAUUCCUUCCGUGCUUCACAGAUCAUAUCAGAGAUUCAACAGAUGGUGGAAGACAUUUUGGCUGGAGGGAGGCAUUCUUUGCAGUGAAGGUAGACCCAUGAGCCCGUCCGAAAUGCUUGAAACAGCUGACAGUGAAAAGAGGCCUAGAGACUUCAGUCCAGUUGCCAGCUGCGUACCUAUUAGCACCCCACAGAAACCCUAACAUCUCCUCUGUGGGGUUGUGUUUGUUUGACUUUGUCAUUAUUGAAUUGAGACACACAUACACAGUGGUUGUGAAUUGAGAAUGUGUAUUGACUCAUUUUCAAGGGUGCACUGGCCAUCCCGGAUAAUUUUUAGACUGAGCAAUACCCAUUUUUAGACUGAGAAACACUUCCAAACUUUCGACUCUGGUCUUGGACAAUUCAACUUUGGUUGAGUUUAUCUCAGAAAUAUUAAAUGGGUUUCUGAGGCCAAGUUUUCCAUUCUUUCUGGACCUCAAUCCUGACUCUUGAAUUCAUUUAUUGAGGAGGGCUUGAAUAAAAAUAGAAUAUGACAUGAGUUUUUGUGGCUUUGUGUUGAUUGAAUAUGUUUGAAUAAAGAUUAUCCUAAAAGUGUCUUUAAGAUGUCAUCAGCGAGUUUGUAAUUUGAUGUAAUGAGUGUGUAAUUUGAUGUAAUUCUGGGGCAUUCCAAGUAUGAACUUCACAAAUCAUAAAUCCAGUUUUGACAUAUGGUAUAUUGUUGUUAUUCAAUAUUCAAUAAUAAUACACAGGUUAAUGAGUGAGAGUCUCAUCUCCACUAUUCCACUAUGUCAUAUGGGAGAGUGGGGUAAAUUUAACUAUAUUUUACAUUCAGCAUCACUCCGUCUCAGGAAAUAAAGUAUUCUUUCUAACAAAGAUAUCCACAUAUAUUUCGGGAUGUUGUGUUUACCUGGAAAUAAUAAGAAUUCAUGUGAACAUUACAGUUUUGAAAACAUAGCUUGUCCAAAAAAAGUGGUCUCUGCACAACUACGGCUCAACUUGGGGUAAGUUGAGCCGUAGGCCAGGUAAGUUAAGCCGCCUACACAUUUCUGUACUGAAUUAAAUAUUACCGCUACCUUUUUAUAACCAUGUCUAUCUUUAUUUCCAAACACAAUUCAACACAAUCACUUUUUUGUCUUUUAUUAAUUUUAAGCAUAUUUUAACACAGGCUUAACACCUAACAAAC